UACGGGGGGAGCAAGCGUUGUGCGGAUGUACUGGGCGUAAAGGGCGCGUAGGCGGCGUGGCAAGUCACUUGUGAAAUCUCCGGGCUUAACCCGGAACGGUCAAGUGAUACUGCUGUGCUAGAGUGCGGAAGGGGCAACUGGAAUUCUUGGUGUAGCGGUGAAAUGCGUAGAUAUCAAGAGGAACACCUGCGGCGAAGGCGGGUUGCUGGGCCGACACUGACGCUGAGGCGCGCAAGCUAGGGGAGCGAACGGG
rnacentral:rRNA from 1 species